rnacentral:rRNA from 1 species
UACGUAGGGGGCAAGCGUUGUCCGGAUUUAUUGGGCGUAAAGCGCGUGUAGGCGGCCAGGUAGGUCUGCUGUGAAAACUCGAGGCUCAACCUCGAGAUGUCGGCGGAAACCCUCUGGCUAGAGUCCGGAAGAGGAGAGUGGAAUUCCCGGUGUAGCGGUGAAAUGCGCAGAUAUCGGGAAGAACACCCGGGGCGAAGGCGGCUCUCUGGGACGGGACUGACGCUGAGACGCGAAAGCGUGGGGAGCGAACAGG